CUUCCUCUCUUCUCUCUUUCUUCUUCUUUCCUUCCUUCCUUCCCUCCUCCCUCUCCGAUUCUUUCCCUCUUCCUUUCCCUUUUUUCUCAUUUCGCUUCCUUUUUGCAGAGAUGUGUCAAGGGCAGGGAUGGUGGUCUGACAGGGGACAGGAGGGGGAACAUCAUCAAUCCAACUCAUUUCUGUAAACGGCACCUGCAAUGUAUCCGAGCAUUGUACAGGAUUCCAGAGAAACAUAAAAAAUGACGAGUACUUGCAUCUCAAGAAAUUGACAUUCUACUGGUUAUUAAUGAAUGAAAGGAUUGUAAAGGUUGGAGUAGAAGAUAAAAAGAAACAGAGGAGGCAUAAGAAAUGGAAUGGUUAUGGUAAUGAUUGGAAUGACGCCACCUGCUGGAGACUUACUGUAGAAAAGCUGCGCCAUGAGGUGAACAUCUCUGAGGGCAAGACCACUCGUCUUUUCUUUGGC